rnacentral:rRNA from 1 species
CCUCUUCCCAUUCCGAACAGAGUCGUUAAGCCCCGGAGCGCCUAUGGUACUGCCUUCAUCGGUGGGAGAGUCGGUCGCCGCCAACC